rnacentral:tRNA from 1 species
GGCCUUGUAGUGAAAUUCAUGGUGAGUUGCAAGCUCAUUGAUGUGUGUUAAUCCACACCGGGGUCU